rnacentral:rRNA from 1 species
AUCAACUUUCGAUGGUAGGAUAGAGGCCUACCAUGGUGGUAACGGGUAACGGGGUGUUAGGGCACGACACCGGAGAGGGAGCCUGAGAAACGGCUACCACAUCCAAGGAUGGCAGCAGGCGCGCAAAUUACCCAAUCCCGACACGGGGAGGUAGUGACAAUAAAUAACAAUACGGGGUUCUUUAGGAUCUCGUAAUUGGAAUGAGUACAAUUUAAAUCUCUUAACGAGGAACAAUUGGAGGGCAAGUCUGGUGCCAGCAGCCGCGGUAAUUCCAGCUCCAAUAGCGUAUAUUAAAGUUGUUGCAGUUAAAAAGCUCGUAGUUGAAUUUCGGGGUUUAUCCGUUGGUCGGGCUUUUUGGUCUGUACUGGCGUGAUGGAUUCCUACCUUCUGAAUAACCGGCAUGCCAUUAAUUUGGUGCGCCGGGGAAGCAGGACUGUUACCUUGAAAAAAUUAGAGUGCUUAAAGCAGGCUUAUGCCUGAAUACAUUAGCAUGGAAUAAUGAAAUAGGACGCAUGGUUCUAUUUUGUUGGUUUCUAGGAUCACCGUAAUGAUUAAUAGGGAUAGUUGGGGGCAUUAGUAUUCAAUUGUCAGAGGUGAAAUUCUUGGAUUUAUUGAAGACUAACUUCUGCGAAAGCAUUUGCCAAGGAUGUUUUCAUUAAUCAAGAACGAAAGUUAGGGGAUCGAAGACGAUCAGAUACCGUCGUAGUCUUAACCAUAAACUAUGCCGACUAGGGAUCGGAUGAUGUUAAUUUUUUAAUGACUCAUUCGGCGCCUUACGGGAAACCAAAGUGUUUGGGUUC